rnacentral:rRNA from 1 species
CACGUAGGGUGCGAGGGUUGUCCGGAAUUAUUGGGCGUAAAGGGCUCGUAGGCGGUUUGUCGCGUCGGGAGUGAAAACCUUGGGCUUAACUCAGGGCUUGCUUUCGAUACGGGCAGACUAGAGGUAUGCAGGGGAGAACGGAAUUCCUGGUGUAGCGGUGAAAUGCGCAGAUAUCAGGAGGAACACCGGUGGCGAAGGCGGUUCUCUGGGCAUGAUCUGACGCUGAGGAGCGAAAGUGUGGGGAGCGAACAGG